GAGGUCCCCGGGCGCGGCUGGGGCAGCGGGAGGCGCGGGAGGCCGAGGUCCGGGUGGCCGCCGCGGCCGCCCCCGAAGCGCUGCUGUCACCCCGGCCGCGCCCCCCAACUUUCUGCACAGUCGCGGAGCUGGAAGUUUCCGGGCUUCGCGGACACGCUGGGCUGGGUUUCAGUCGCGGCUCCGAGGUUGGCAACAAAGAGGGAAAGAAGGAGGAAAAGCAGGCCGGGGAGGGGAGGAAGAGAACCGCGCGGAGGCCGCGGCGCCGAGAGCCCCAGAACUUCCAAUUCUACCCAGAAGCUUUUUUCGUCGUGUUUUUCUCUUAGACAUGAUCCUCUCUGAGGUUGGUCCUGGGCUUCCAUACGUGAUUCAUGGAAGAGGUCUCAGCCCCAAGAGCCCCUGAGGGUACUGUCCACUCCCCCUGGAAACUUCCAGAACCUGACGUGGGGCUGAAGACAUAGAGGCUCUGAGAGUUACAUAAUUGAUUCUGACUUUGGCUGUUGGUCAACAGUGUCAUAAGGUAAAAUAAGGCUGUUGUAGAAUCUGCUCAGCCAGGGAGGGGAAAGGAGUCGGC
rnacentral:lncRNA from 1 species